rnacentral:rRNA from 1 species
UUGGAGGGCAAGUCUGGUGCCAGCAGCCGCGGUAAUUCCAGCUCCAAUAGCGUAUAUUAAAGUUGUUGCAGUUAAAAAGCUCGUAGUUGAAUUUCGGGGUUAGUAGGUUGGUCAUGCCUCUGGUAUGUACUGGUCUCACUGACUCCUCCUUCCUGAUGAGCCGUAAUGCCAUUAAUUUGGUGUUGCGGGGAAUUUGGACUGUUACUUUGAAAAAAUUAGAGUGUUUAAAGCAAGCUAACGCUUGAAUACAUUAGCAUGGAAUAAUGAAAUAGGACGUUCGAUCCUAUUUUGUUGGUUUCUAGGAUUGACGUAAUGAUUAAUAGGGAUAGUUGGGGGCAUUAGUAUUCAAUUGUCAGAGGUGGAAUUCUUGGAUUUAUUGAAGACUAACUACUGCGAAAGCAUUUGCCAAGGAUGUUUUCAUUAAUCAAGAACGAAAGUUAGGGGAUCGAAGACGAUCGGAUACCGUCGUAGUCUUAACCAUAAACUAUGCCGACUAGGGAUCGGAUGAUGUUAAUUUUUUAAUGACUCAUUCGGCGCCUUACGGGAAACCAAAGUGUUUGGGUUC